rnacentral:rRNA from 1 species
AGAUAUCAGGAGGAACACCGAUGGCGAAGGCAGGUCUCUGGGCUGUAACUGACGCUGAGGAGCGAAAGCAUGGGGAGCGAACAGGAUUAGAUACCCUGGUAGUCCAUGCCGUAAACGUUGGGCACUAGGUGUGGGGGACAUUCCACGUUUUCCGCGCCGUAGCUAACGCAUUAAGUGCCCCGCCUGGGGAGUACGGCCGCAAGGCUAAAACUCAAAGGAAUUGACGGGGGCCCGCACAAGCGGCGGAGCAUGCGGAUUAAUUCGAUGCAACGCGAAGAACCUUACCAAGGCUUGACAUGAACCGGAAAGACCUGGAAACAGGUGCCCCGCUUGCGGUCGGUUUACAGGUGGUGCAUGGUUGUCGUCAGCUCGUGUCGUGAGAUGUUGGGUUAAGUCCCGCAACGAGCGCAACCCUCGUUCUAUGUUGCCAGCGCGUUAUGGCGGGGACUCAUAGGAGACUGCCGGGGUCAACUCGGAGGAAGGUGGGGACGACGUCAAAUCAUCAUGCCCCUUAUGUCUUGGGCUUCACGCAUGCUACAAUGGCCGGUACAAAGGGUUGCGAUACUGUGAGGUGGAGCUAAUCCCAAAAAGCCGGUCUCAGUUCGGAUUGGGGUCUGCAACUCGACCCCAUGAAGUCGGAGUCGCUAGUAAUCGCAGAUCAGCAACGCUGCGGUGAAUUCGUUCCCGGGCCUUGUACACACCGCCCGUCAAGUCACGAAAGUUGGUAACACCCGAAGCCGGUGGCCUAACCCUUGUGGGGGGAGCCGUCGAAGGUGGGACCGGCGAUUGGGACUAAGUCG